AUUGAACGCUGGCGGCAUGCUUUACACAUGCAAGUCGAACGGUAACAGGCCUUCGGGUGCUGACGAGUGGCGAACGGGUGAGUAAUGCAUCGGAACGUGCCCAAUCGUGGGGGAUAACGUAGCGAAAGUUACGCUAAUACCGCAUAAGCCCUGAGGGGGAAAGUGGGGGACCGCAAGGCCUCACGCGAAUGGAGCGGCCGAUGUCAGAUUAGCUAGUUGGUGGGGUAAAGGCCCACCAAGGCGACGAUCUGUAGCGGGUCUGAGAGGAUGAUCCGCCACACUGGGACUGAGACACGGCCCAGACUCCUACGGGAGGCAGCAGUGGGGAAUUUUGGACAAUGGGCGCAAGCCUGAUCCAGCCAUUCCGCGUGAGUGAAGAAGGCCUCGGUU
rnacentral:rRNA from 1 species